rnacentral:lncRNA from 1 species
ACAUUGCUCUCAGGGCCCCUUGAUGUGGUCCCAUCAAUCCAUCAUCAUGUAAUAUGUUGUGGGCCUUAACACACCCCACCAUGCCAGCUUCCUCACCGAGACUGUAGACCUUGUUUCCAUUUGCAAGCUUGGAUCUGUGAGGAAGGAAGAAAUACUUUAUGAGUCAUCACCCUCAAGAGCUUUACACUUCAAGAUGUAAAUGUAGGAGGAUAUUGUUCAGAGGUCUUUCAGUUUGCUCUACAAACUUGCAAAUUCAGGUGCAGAAACCAAAACCUUGAAUGUCUCUAUUUGACUAUGUGGAAAUGAUUAUAGUAAAAUGCUGACAUCUGCAAAACCUUCCAUAAAAUUUUCACAGUAAGGGAACAGCAAACACAAAGACCCUCAGCUCAAAGCUGGCACAAGAACUGAGCUUCCAUUUACCAUCAUGUGCUUUGCUCUUGUUGAUGCCAGUAAACUCCAAGCAAGUUGUCUGCAAUAGCAAGUCCAUGUGUUGCAUAAGUAUAAAUGACAUGUUUUUAUGAAGAAGUCCAACACACUGGCUACAUCAGAAGGGGAAAUAAGUGGAAAAGAUGAUGAGAAUAUAGUUCUUAACUGGCGUGUAGCAGAGGGAAAGUCCAACUCCUAAUGUAUUGUGGAACUAUCUGGUAAAAACUUAUGCAUGCUUUUGGACUCCAUUUCAUCUGCAGAUUAGAAUCACUAAAGUUGCCACAGGAGAGGCCAAGCACAUUAGUGAAAUAACACAAGUACUCCACCCUUGGAAGAUCCGUAAAUACAGCACUCCAAAACCAUCUGUCAGCCCUCCAAAACCUACUGCAGGAAAGCCGGGACACAGUUUUGCUGCAUUGCAGACAAAUGCUAAAUCAGCCUCCUGAGCCAGACACAGCACUCAAGCUUUCAACAAAAGGCCUCAAAGUCCUCUUUGACCUCAUCAUGGCCAGAAAUCUCAUUGCUGCCUCUGCCAGGUCAUAGAUUUUAAGAAGUGGUCUCACCAUGAGCCUUCAAGCCAAUGUCGUUUUUGCAUGGACCACAGGACUUGCUGACAUCAGUUCCUGCUUCAAGUCCAAAGACAGUGGUUGGAAUAAAACAGAUCAUUUUGGAAAUAUUUCCAGUAUACACAUUCUCAACCCAGUAUUAGUUGUUCCAAUGAUUGUUUUUAUUUCCAUUUUUAAUUAAUUUUAAUUAAAAAUUUAUUUCCAACU